GCUGACAUUACUUUAAGCAAAGUACCAAUGGACCAACAAGUAUUAACCAUAAAAGUUAGAGUUCAUUCCUAUUGGACAAAAAGUUUUCUGCUUUAAUGUCAUAUAAGUUUGACCAUUGUAAACAUACACUCACCGGCCACUUUAUUAGGUACACCAUGCUCGUCAACGAAGAUUGUACACCUCUCUAUAAUGAUACACAACCUGCAACGAUAAUUUAUUGGCAGACAUUGGCUGACUGAUUAAAAUUCACUUAAAUUCACUAAGCUUAACAUUCUAUCCAGUUGCAUCAUGGGCAAUGUAGGAUUUAGUGGCGUGAAAUACUGUCACUUGUGUUGCGUUACAUUUGUUAUUAAAUAUAAUAACAAAAAUAACGAUAAAUAGUGAUAAGAGCUAUUCAGCACUUAAAAAACAUUCUCGUUGGAUACCUAACCCAGGACCCCCCUCAAGCCAGAAUUCCUGCUCCAAAUCUCAGAGGAACUUCAGGUGCCCUUGAAUCCCAGACUUUGUCUUGUUUUACAUAAUUUAACCAGUCACAUUGAUAGUAUCGUGCACAUUUUAUUUAUUUUGUUACAUUCACGCACAUACUAAUAUACUCAACUCAACUUUAUUCGUAAAGCACUUUAAAACAACCACAGCUGAACAAAGUGUUGUACAUAAAUAGACAAAACAACGCAGACAUAAAAAAAAAAUAAAAAACAAUGAUAACAAUGGAUAAAAUAAAAGCAGAUAUUAAAAAGUAAAAUGUAGUUUUAAUGUUUUUAAAACUAAUUUAAAAACAAUAGAAAGAAAUAACUUAAAAACAAACCAUAAAACACUAAAACAGGAGCCGAGUCUCAUGCAGGGUUAAAAGCCAAUAAAUAAAAAUGUGUUUUAAGACGAAUUUUAAGAAUGGACAUUGAGGGGGCUUGUCUGAUUUGGAGGGGUAGCUUGUUCCAUAAUCUAUAAUGUUAUUGCCUUGUAGCCAACAAUGCUAACAACAACAGGGACUUGUUUCAGACUUUGUUUUCAACUUUAUCCAACUUCCAAGGUAAAUGAAAACACACUUCUACUACCAUCAAAUCAUGGACAGAACAUUAGAUACCCUGAGUAAGGUCCAAACUGUAACCGUAGAGUAGGUGUGAGAGUGGCACAAUCCUCCCAUUAUCACAGGCUGAACUAUCACUGUAACCUCUGCUCUCCUUCAUGUUGUGACUCAACCAGCUCUCCUCUGAUUUCUCUGUGGUCACAUGUUUGCUGUUGUCCUGUAACACACGCUCAUGGCUCUGUACCAGGUUUCUAUGCAGCAAAUAAAGAGGAUGCUGCUUGGUUUUCUUAUGUUAUUCCAAACCAAAAAUUCAUAGAUGUUUGUAUCAGUAUCAGAUGUUUGUAUCACGACUCACACCCCCCCUUUUCCUUCCUUUCUGUCUCCCUCAUCCAUCAUCCACGCUCUUCCUCGUUCGAGGCUAUGCUGUGCGUGCUGAUUUGUAACCUCUGUGUCAUAAAUAGGAGCGGUUAGGUAUGUCUGUUGCAUAAUAACUCAUGUGGACAGCUUAGAGGAUAGGCGGCCUGUGAAGGUGAGGUGACCCUCGUCAGCCUGUCUCCUGUUCGGAUCUUUUUUGCUGUCAAGGCUCAGCUGGAUCUCCCCUCCCCCACGCCUACUGUCAUUUCAUAACUCUGUGCUUGUGUUUCAUAUGAAUUAAGUCCCAUUAAAACAAAUUUAGCUAAAAAAAUGAUUAAUUUUUAAUAUGUUCAACAAAAAAGAGUAACUCCAGAAAUUUAGAAAUAUGGUUACUUAGUGAUACUGUAGCUGCUAAACAGAAAUUUCAACAGUUCUUGGGGAAAGUAUUAUUCGUCUGCUGCUUUCCAUGACACAAAGGUUAUGUAAUAUGUUGUAUCUAUGAGGAAAUAUGUCACUCCUUAACCACCCACUGUCUUAUUUGUUUCUUGUCAGUAGUGAAGCAGUGUCUGGACAGUGAUUUGUCAGUUCCUUAGUGCUUAAAGCAUAACAGUACAAAAAUAUAUGAGAAACUGGGCGUCAAGGGCCUGUUUCCACUAACAGCAUUUUUUGUGAUGACCCCAUUUGAGAGUAUUUCUCGGCACUCACUGAUACUGGGCUAUUGGAGGUUGUUCUGUGCCAUCUCCGCAUUCCUUUGUGCUGAUCGUCAGUUACAAAAUGCUUGAUAUGCUGAUACCUGUCAACACUCCUGUUUUUCCCACAACUCUACCAUAUUUCAGACCUAUCUACCGUCCACCUUGUGUAUUGUCAUUUCUCCCGGGAAUCUCUCGUAGUUUGAUGGUCCACGUUCAUUCAUGAAUCGGAUCACUAUAUCCGUCCAAAGUUGUUUCCAGACAACCAAAGAUUAUCCUGUGUUUCUGCUGAGCCUGCUGACACUGGAUUAAUACUUUUACUUAUAUCAUGGCUAUUAUUUUUUUAUUACCAUUUGUUAUUGUGAAAACAAAACAAAAAAGUGUGCAGCUUCACUUAUACUUGUUUGGAUAAGCAAUCUAAUUACAAAUACUCUCAUAAUUAGCUCAUAUCCACCAUACAAGGUAACCCCAAAACUGCUCGACGCGCGCCGCAAAAAUCUCCCAGAUUUUAUAACCCAAAUGUUGGCAGGUAUGGAUAUGCCCCAUAUUAGCUCUGGGCGAAUGGACUUCAAGAAACUCAAGAAGGUAAUUAUCAAUAUUGUGUUUUGUCAUUAGCAGCUAUACACUUGGAAAUUGUACCUUGACAAACAAGUGAAGUUAGUCUACAAAAAGGAGCAUUUCCUGAGUAAAGAAAUACAUCAGUGGACACAGGCCCUUAGUCCUAUGGAAAAGGGAAAUGGUCCAUGUGUGGUGAUGUUGAAUGGAUUCUGCCCCUACAAUAUGAUUCACAGUAAGCAAAAAAGCAGGAGUGGAAUGAGUCUCUGGUCUGAUCUUCAGAUAGAGAGCUACCAUUUUUGAGUUUGCUGCAUGAAAAAAAAGCAAGGACUUCAAUGCAGUGCCUACGCUUAAACACGUAAAGCCCAGCUGAGUUCUAACCUUCAAAGAGCAUUUAGGUACACUCAGCUUUCAGUGUGUGAAAGGACCUCCUUCACAUAUAAAGGUCAGUAUCAGCCUCGUGGAAAGAGUACAGAGAUUUACAGUUUAGAUAAACCCAUCUGGUUCUUCCUCCGUCUCUGUUACAGCUGCAGCUUCUGUUGGUUUUUCUUGUUUGUAUUAAAUCUGUCUCUCCCCUCAGGCAAGUCGUCGCCAUCUGAGGCUGUUUGGCUCAGUGACUGUCGCUUAGUUUUGAUCUGUCGCUCUGUGCAGGUGAGGCUGAGGAGGGGGGAAGAGGCUUGCUGUGGAGACACAGAAAUAAACACUCAUGCAAACUUUAGUGUGAAACAAAGGCAGUGAGUGUUUGCAGGGAGAGCUGCAGGCACAGCAGUGACCACAGAGUGGAGGUCUGUCCUGCUGGGGGCAGUUUUUAUGAAGUGAAGCCAACAUCCCCUCACACUGUGGAGUCUUUGGAUACGGCAGGGGAAACGUCUGCUGCAGUUUAUUCACAAACAGCAUUUUGGCAUUCACACAACUGAAUUUAAUAGAUUGAUUCCUUUAUAAUUGAUCCAUAUGUGGAUAUUUCCCAAUCUGUGUGCAUGCAAAUACUCUAUUCCACACAUGAAUGUAUUGCAAAUAUAAGUGUACAGAUGCUGCGGUCUUUCAAGGUUGGUGCACUGCUUUGUUGCAUGUUUUGCAUGCAACAUGCAAAACAACAAAAAUGUGAUGGCGAUGAAUUCUGCAGGUUGCACAGAAAAAUACAUCUAAAAACCUAGUCUCCUGGGUUUUCAUAAAACUUCUGCACAUAUUGGAAUAUUUUAGUUGUUCAGAAGGUUAGGAAACAUGUUAAAUGAUGCAUACUCUAUUUACACUGUUAUAAUCAUGUGGUGUCGGUGGUUGGAUCACAAGUAUACAGCGUUAUCUGCAGGUUUAAACACACCCAGGACUCAGAGAUCCAAUCACUCAGGCCAGAUUGAGAGGUGGUGGUCCAGGAUACAUUUGGCCGCACUGGGCUGGCAGUGUGUACACUCAUGUGGCCUGGGUCACAGUGAGGACUGCCCACUCUGCUGGCUGUAUCCACGGCAACAAUCACAUGGAGUAACAGAGCACCAGCUUCUCAUUCCCAACUGAUUGAAUUUUUAACCACUGUGUCUUGUGAAAUCUGUUCUGUGUUAUGUGUUCUGAAAGAAAGAAGUUCGCAGAGUUUUCAAGAGAUUACACUACUUUGGUUGUUGAGUUUUGAAAAGCUUUUCCGUUUUGUAAUAUUAUUGAUCUGUAAAGGAACAUCGGGCAUCAGGAUCAAACAAACUUUUAUAUCAUCAGUCUCUGAUCAGCUGCUCCUCUGUACCCCCUGCUCAACAUAAAUGUAGCUCUCUUCCCCAAUUUGCUGCCAGUCACCAUUAUUAUAUGUGAUAAAUACUAAUGAGAGCAAUUACUGGCAUAUGAAGUGGAACAUAUGAAAUGUGAUCAUAUGUUGUUACUGUGGACAUCUUGGACUUUUAUGAUGUGUUUUGGCCGACAAAGAAAAAUAAAUGAUAAUUAUAUUAUGUUAUUCACUUUCAUUACAACAGCAGAGGAGAUAUAAACCAUACAAUCAUAGUAAACACAAGCACAAAAAAUAUGAGAAUGAUAUUAUUUAAAGGACAGUCAAUCUUCCCAAAGAAGGAAAAAGAGCAAAAGGGAGAAAAGUAGAUAUUACUGAAAUAAAAUGUGUCCUUUAUGACAGAGGAUUGGUGCUAAUUUAGAGAAGAUUAAGAAAAACAUUUCCAGACAAAACUCACAGUUUUAAAGUCAUAAGAGAAAAAGGAAUAAAUUGACAAGAAUCAAGUAAGAUAGAAAAAUACAAGUUAGUUAAAAAGAACAAAGUUAUAAAUUUUAUAUAAUUUAGGGUGACCAUACGUCCUCUUUUACCCAGACAUGUCCUCUAUCUUGGGGGGCUGUCCAGCUUUGUCUGGGGAAGUUUAUAAAAUCCUUCAAAUGUCCACAGUUUUGGACAUAAGUUUCGAUUUUGUGUCACGUGGACUUACUGAGUUAGAAGCGCGUAAAAGACAUUCAAUCUGACCCGUAAAACACUCAAAAUUAACUUUGUGUUACUCCGUGACUCCGCCCCUGUGUAGUCGUGUCCUCUUUUUGAGAAAUCAGAAUAUGGACACCCUAAUACAAAUAAGCCAUGUAUCAACUUAAAGCACCAGAGACUUAGUUUAUUCCUCUUCAAAAUAAGAUACAGGGUUAACCAUUGACCUCAUCUUUAUAAACCAACCACUUCUUAUUGUAAAUGCAUUACUUCUAUUAAUUUUAUAUCACAACCUAACCAUUAUAAUAUCAUGAUUUGAUUCUUUUCAGUGUAACAUUUAUCCUUUAAAACCUUGUAUGUACUUCUUCCUAUGUGUUUCCCCAAUACAAACUAUUGUCAAUGCCUUUCUGAUUAAGGUUUAGAUACCAUCAAAAUGUUCGCAGUGUUUCUAAUUAAGCCCCUUCAUACUUCAGUGCACACUUCUUUUACAGCGCAAACACUCACAUCUGUGAGAACACAACAAAGACCAAAGAUGUUAUGUAAUGACAGGGCUUCAUUUGUAAUAUGAGGAAUGUGGUGGCAAUCGUUUCUCAGAAAUCAGUUUGCAGAUGAAACAAGCUGAUAGCUUUUUAAGAAAUCAACAUUCAUCACUUCAACAUGCACAAACUGGUUCAACAGCUACAAGAGAUAGAACAACUGUCCCACUGUUGAUAUGAAAACACACACGCACUUACACACACACAUGCUUACACAACAAACACUCAUCUUCUUGGUAAGCCCUGUAUUUCCUGGACUUAACGUAGGACUGAUGUUCGUGUUCCCUGUAUAACACCCAGAAACUCUGCUCCUUCAUGGUUCAGUGCAGUCUAAAUCUGGGACAAAAAAAAACAGGGAGGCACAUGGCAGAGGGAUGCUGUGUGCAAUUACUGCUAAUGAUAUGCCUCCAUGCAAGCUGUGGUCAUAAUUACCUCAGGAGGAAGGCCGGCCUGUGUGAGCUCUGUGCGAAUGGACGCUCACAGGAACGGGCUCAGCACCGAGAGACAAAGCUGAGAAAGUAAACCUGCGCCGACAUUAAUCAGACGACAUGUCUGCCUCCUCAGAUUAGCCAUGUUGGGUGGUCUCGUGUUGGGAGUAACAUGAGGCGGAUGUUAAUGGAAUUGUCCUCCGGAACUUGAGCUUAAACUGGGUUUACUCAGGAGGGUGUGGAGGAGCAGAGUGGUUUAGCUGGAGGUCAGAUAGUAACUGCAGGACUGGGU